rnacentral:rRNA from 1 species
GACGAACGCUGGCGGCGUGCCUAAUACAUGUAAGUCGAGCGAAGUUUUUCUGGUGCUUGCACCGGAAAAACUUAGCGGCGAACGGGUGAGUAACACGUAAAGAACCUGCCUUAUAGACUGGGACAACUAUUGGAAACGAUAGCUAAUACCGGAUAACAGCAUUAACUGCAUGGUUGAUGUUUGAAAGUUGGUUUUGCUAACACUAUGAGAUGGCUUUGCGGUGCAUUAGCUAGUUGGUGGGGUAAAGGCCUACCAAGGCGACGAUGCAUAGCCGACCUGAGAGGGUGAUCGGCCACACUGGGACUGAGACACGGCCCAGACUCCUACGGGAGGCAGCAGUAGGGAAUCUUCCGCAAUGGGCGAAAGCCUGACGGAGCAACGCCGCGUGAGUGAAGAAGGAUUUCGGUUCGUAAAGCUCUGUUGUUAGGGAAGAAUGAUUGUGUAGUAACUAUACACAGUAGAGACGGUACCUAACCAGAAAGCCACGGCUAACUACGUG